UGAACCAGUUGGCAGUGCCAAGUACUUGGUGGAGAGAACUUCCUUUUCUGAUUCUGAAGUAUUCAUUGCUGCUUAGGAGACAGAGAAACAAAACAUAUAGAAACAGUUGCCAGGUGACAUAUCUGUAAGUAGGAAGCUGGUGUAAGGAACUGAGAAUCAGGCUUGUAGUGGAUUAAUAGUAAUAGAUCUAGUUGAUGGAUCUGGUUUAAUUAAAUUAAAUUCAAUUAAUUUAGUUUAACAGUAAAAGAUCUAGUUUAAUGGAUACAAAGCUUAUUGAUAAGUGGGACUUCUGAGUUGGAUCUGAACCUUCAUGAAUGUUUCUGUCUGAAGAUUGUGAGGUUAGGGAACACACAUGAUAUUGAAGCUGAGCCUGCUAUUAUAGCUUAAACAUUAUUAGAAUUUGUAUUCCUAAGGCAUUCUACUUUCUUAAUGUCUGUGUAGGUCAGUGGUGUCAAAUUAAAAUAGAAUUGGCCCCUGCUGGCCACAUAGUGACUUAGAAAACCACAAAUUAACACUGUUGUAUUUUUUUUUUAAUUUAGUUAAACAUUUCCCAAUGACAUUUUAAUCUGCUCACGUAAGAGUUUUGAGUUUGACAUUUCUACUAUAGGUCAUGAUGAGAUAACAACCAUGCUUCUUCAAAAUGGUGCUUCAAAAUGACUACAAUGUCGCCUUGAUCAUCUCCAUCUCUAAAAAGUAGGACUUUUUUCUUCCUAUCUUUAACAGUUUCUGGAAGAACUAUGUGUAGAUACAGACUUUGGACAUUGGUAGUAGGGCCUGUGAGAAGAGGGCCCCAUAGCAAUGCUGGAUGAUGCAAUUUUUUCAUGAUGAACUCCUUCUCUUUUGAGCUUAUAAAAGUAGGAUCUGAGAUGAAUCAUUUCUCUAGAUCAUCAAAUUUUAUUUGUUAUUAAAUCUACAUGUCAGUAGAAAAACUUGGGAGUGACACUGUUAAGACAGAGAAUGUAGCGAUAAGCAAGAUACCAUACAAAGGCAAUGCAUGUCUGUAGAUGGCUAGCCGGAUGAGGAUUCCAGAUGUAUAGCUUUCAUUUGGACUCUCCAUUGCCCUUUUAAAUGCCCCAGGAACUCCCAUCUUUUCCUAAAAUUGACAUGUCUGCACUUUGCAACUAGCUGGUGCUGGUGGAGAUACUGGAAGAUAGCCUACCCAAUUUCUGCAUGCUGGAUAGAUCUUGGAAGUAGAUGCUGUCAAGAUAAAUUACAUGAAGGAGAUAAGACUAGGCAGUAGUUUGCAUGGAAAAAGAGUCAGGAAUUGUAGUGGACUGCAAGUCCAGAAUUAUCCAGAAGUGUCAGCCAGUAAGCAUUUAUUAAGAAGUCUUAUAUUUGCCAGACACUUUGCUAAGCACUGAGGAUACAGAGAAAGGAAAAAGACAGUUCCUAUACUUAUGGAAUUCAUAAUCUAAUGUGGGAGACAACAUGCAAAAAACAGAAAAAUCUAUGUACAGAUAAACUACAUAAUUAAGAGGAAUUGGGAAACCCUUCUUGGAGGAGAUGAGGAUUUAACUGAACUUGAAGGAAACCAAUUGGUGGAGAUGGGGAGAAAGAACAUUCUCAGCAGGAGGGACAGCCAGAGAAAAUGUCCAGAGUCCAAAGAUGAAGUUUCUUUAUUCAACUGCAAGGAAUGUUUUGAGAACCAAAAAAAAAAAAAAAAAGAUCUGAGGCUACAUUAAAGGAGACUUGGGGCCAGGACUAAGUAGUUCAUCUGCCAAAUCCCUGCAUAUUGGUACUCUGGUCUGUUGAGACCAUAUCUGGAGUAUUAUAAUUCUAGGAACUACAUUUUAAGGGAGAUACUAAUCAAGUAGAAAAUGUCUAUAUGAGGGAAGGCCCAUAUAAAGAAUGAAGAAACUUUUAAGAAACUGGGGAUAUUGAUCCUGGAGAAGACAAUACUUAGUGUAAAUAUGAGCACUCUUUAAGUAUAUGAAGCACUGUCAUGUGCAAGAGGAAAUAAACUUAUUUCUUUUCUCUUGUCAUACCACUCUUUAACUCAAGAAACUUCAGUGCUUCCCUGUUGUUUACAGAAUAAAAUGUAAACCUCCUAGUUUGGUAUUUAAAAUCCUAUAUUAUCUGGCUCUAGCCUUCUCCUUCAGACUUAUAUUCUAGUCAAAUUAAUGAUGGGAUUAUGAAUGUAGGCCAAACAACUCAUUUUGGAGAUAAAGGAGGUUAAUUUGCCCAAGGCUAUGCAGGUAAGAAGUGGGAGAGGUGAGAUUUGAACCCAGGCCCUCUUACUGUCCUUUUCCAUAUAUCAUACUACCUUAUGUGCUUUUUAAAUUAUCUGGAUCCUUAAAACUCCCAAAUGGAAUGAUGAAGUUAGAUACAACUGAAACAACUGAACAAGAACCUCUAUACUGUGAAUUUUAGAUUUACUCCACCUUGCUUAGUCUUUGGAAUUUUAGUAACCAGGAAUGUAUAAAGAUUUAGUGUGGGGGAAGAAGGUCUAUGACCCGCAUGUGCUAGCAAGUGACAAGUCAGAAACAAUUGACUGACCCCCUGGGCUGUCCAAAGCCAAGUUUAAGCCACCACUGGUACAUGUGAUGUAAAGACCUGCCUUUAUAUUUCACAUCACUUCCUGUGAGAGGACUGUGGCGGUGGAACUUGACUUGGAGGGACUCAAGUGUGAGACCUCAGUCUGCUUCCUUGAGACAAUCAGGUGGUAAGUUCUGACUCUCCUUUCCGUGGCUUUUUUUGGAGGAAACAGCUUCUGGGAAGAUCCCUUGGCUGAGGCCUCUGAACUCCUCCUGACUCAGACCAGGCUGGAGCAGAUCUUCUUCCUUUUUCCCUCUCUCUCCCUCAUUCUUAAUUUCUUGCUUCUAUUGUAAAUAAACCACCAUAAAAUUCCAUUCUGACUUCAGUUUUCAUUGAGAUUUAGAAUUUAAAUCCCUGGCACCAACUAAAAAAUAUACAUAGUCUCAACUGUAAAAAUGGAGAUUUGAACCCCGGACUUCAAUCCUCAGAAAUCCUUGCUCUAGUUCCUGAGAUGCCCUCUAAUCUCACUCAGAUUUCCACCUGGGCGAGAUCAAAAUUUCUAUUUAGCUGGCUGUAAAAGCCUACUGAGCUCUCUUCCUACUUCCGCUUCCAAGCAGACGCAUCUCUCAUGAUGUAAGUGAAAUUGAUUGGGCCUUUAGGCCCUCCUAGGCACAUGCUUUCUUACUUGUACUUUCUUUAAAUUCUUAAACUUUAAUAAACCUCAUAAAAUAUAAUACUUCUAGCAGAGAAACUAAUUUUAACUGCUACAGUUUGGCGUAACCACUUCAGGAAAACGAAAUGCCCUCAAUCUUCCGAUCUACUGUAACUAAGUUCAGCCUUUAAUAGCUAGUGCCUAGUUUGUUUGUUUUUUAAGCUACGUUUCUCCAAGAUGCUUUUUUAGAAAACCAUCUUGAUCAGCUCUGGCCUGUAGCCAUCCGCUUCGUACUUUCUUGAGUCCUUCCCACAGGCUGGCUGGCUCAGCUCCUGUUCCCAGCUUCCAGACCUGUUUGACUCAGAUCUCAGAUCACCUGGUAGCUCGCCGCUGCCCCCCCCCCCCCCUCGAAAACUCUAGCCUCGGAGCAGACCACUCAUGGCCCCAGGCCCAGGACUCAUUUCUACCAGCUGGUAAAGAUGGGGAGGUAAUGUUCCCUUAGGCUAUGAUUAGCCUCCACAUGGACUGGGGGGCAGGGGAUCACAGGAGGGGAGAAAGAAAGGGAAAGAAGGAAGAGACUUUUUCAAACAGGAACUUACAAGCAUGGGGUAUUUAAAAGGAUAUCUUUUAACUAUAUUGGUUCUUUCAUUUACUUCACAUGAGAUUCAGAAAAAAAAAUUCAGCUCUCUGCAACUCUUUAGCUAACUUUGGAGGGGCAGCUGGAUAUCUCAGUGGACUGAGAGCCAGGCCUAGAGACGGGAGGUCCUGGGUUGAUAUCUGGCCUCAGACACUUGCUGGCAGUGUGGGUCCCUGAGUGGGUCACUUAAACUCCAUUACCUAGCCCAUACCAAUCUCCUGCCUUCUGACAAUAGGCAUCUAAAUGGAUAAAAACCCAAGGAACUUUAAAGAGACUGGAAGUUAUAUUUUUAAGGCAUUUCAGACUCCAAUGUUUUAUAAAAAUCUCUGUAUUCUAUUGUAUUUUACUGUUUGCUUUCUUUAAGAUUUAACUUUGUGAUUUUAAGUUCAUAUAUUACUGCAUUCCAUACUUUUCUGUUACACUAAAUCAUUUUAAUGUAUUGAGUUUUAACUACUGUUAAAUUCUGUUGCUUUUCCCCUAUAACCAUACUUGAAUAGGCCCAUAUGUAAAACAGCUUUUCUGUUUUUGACUUUGUAAAUUAUCACAUAGAGAAUAGAUGGACUCCAUCAGAAAAAUUGCUAUAACAACCUUUGGAAAAUUUAAUGUGCUAAAUACCUCUAUCUCUACUGAUUUUAAGGGUUCUUUAGACAUGAUUUUUAGAAACUUUCUUAACAAUCUCUGGUCAUUUUUGCCUGCCCCUAACACGAGGUGUAAGGCCCAUUCUAGCAGCUGAAGUGAAAUACAAUUUAAUCCCCAACUCCUGCAUUUCUAAAAAUGUGAAUAGAAGUUGGGAAGUUAAUCCCAGCGCAUUUGUAUCCCCUAGAAGCCUUCAAAAAAGGGAGCAUCUCUCAUUUAAACACUUCAGCUGAUUUUACCUCCACCAAAAUGAUAUCUAGAAUUCUUGAUGAUGUUCAAAACCCAAAUAAGUUUUACUUUCUUUAAAAUUAUGUUUACCAAGGUUGAAAGAUUUGCUAUGUUUGUAAAAAUUGUGACAAAUAUCCCUCAGUUCAUAGGCUUUUAAAAAAUGCCAUACAGCAACUUAUGUGAAAUGUGAUAGUGUGUUUGUUUGCUAUUGUAAUUAACUGGGCUAUUGAGAAUUUGGGGGAUAUUGAUAACUACAUAUUUGUACUACUGUUCUUUAUAAAAAAAAAUACCUUGUGAAAUUCAUUUGCUCAUACAGUGGAUCAUGGCCAGGUAUGAAGAGGAAAUGGAUAUCAUUUUUGGUGAGAAAGCCUUGUAUUCUAUAUUUUCUUAGCUGCCAUAGAGUGUCAAUGAUUAUAAGCUAUAUUUUUAUUUUUUAAACUCUUUUAUUAUUAUAUUUUUCUUGCAUGUGCAAUAUACUAUUUCAGUUCUUUUAUUUUUUUCUCUCCUUUUUAUAUUUGAAGCACGUCACCAGCGUUAAGAUUUUCUUUAACUUUUUGAUUUUGCACUAAUAUAAGUUUAAAAUACAUUUGCUAAUGCAUGCCCUAAAAGCUUGAGACUAUAAACAUGAUGCCACUAAUUGUUUUAAAAAAACUUUAUGGGACUUUACUUAAUAAUUCUGUCUGACUCCAGGACAAGAUAUAUACAAAAGAGCCAUUGCAUAGGGCCAAAGAUAAACCAAUCCAGGACGGAUUAAUGCACUUCUGGCCAAUACAAAGGUCUUGAACCUAGUGUGAAGACUCAGGGUUGUGAUGUUUAACAUUUAUUAAGACAUAGGCCUUCCUUGUGUCCACACUCACUCUGAAAAUACAGACGAGUAUCCCCAAACUUGGCUCCUACUUAGCUCCUAUAAUCUGGUCCCUUUUCUGUCUUUCAUAGUGUGGCAACUUUCUAUAGUACUGGCUACUGACUGGGUAAAUGCAUCAUUGCUUAAAUCAUUUUAAUUGGGCCCUGAUUCAAGGACCUGUUAUAGAUUUUUUUUCCCUUGACUUAGAAUUUUUACACAUAAGACUGAUAGUCUAUAUUUUCAUCCAGAAAUUUUCUUUUUUAUUUGGAUUUUUCUGAUGCCUUUUCAAUAUCUCUUGCCAGUUGAUUCAUAUACCUCAUAACUCAGCCAUGCAUCCCUAAGUGAUCCCGUGUUUUUCAAUCACCCUUUUAAUGGGGAAAUGUAAAAAUAUUAUUAUUUUAAAUUGCAAAGUUUAAAUUCCUUUUGAGAAGAAUUUUAGGUAAAGAAAGAUGCUAUCUCUCCGAAUCCAGAAACUGAACUGUUGGAGAAGACACCAUGAAGAUGCCUCCGGACCAUAAGCUGCACAAGAAGAUCAAAAUUAACUUUGGGUGUGGUUGAUUGAACAUUUAUUUGUAUGUAGACUUUCAUGGCAAAGGGGACUGCCCCCUAACUGGCUUUUUUGUCAAUGUGUCUAGCAAUUAUUGGUUUUGUGUUUUUUUUUUUCCUCUUAUCCUCAAAUUAUUGUAAUCUUUUAAGUUGAUUUUGUUUUCAUGAUCCUUUGGGAAAAACCUUUUUUCCCAGAGGAUCAAACGGAGAAAUGUAAAAAUGGAGAUAUGAACCCCGGACUUCAAUCCUCAGAAAUCCUUGCUCUAGUUCCUGAGAUGCCCUCUAAUCUCACUCAGAUUUCCACCUGGGCGAGAUCAAAAUUUCUAUUUAACUGGCUGUAAAAGACUACUGAGCUCUCUUCCUACUUCAACUUCCAAGCAGAGCUGUCUCUCAUGAUGUAAGUGAAAUUGAAUGGGCCUUUUGGCCCUCUUAGGCACGUGCUUUUGUAGCAUUCCAAGCAUAUUCACAUCUAAGAAAUAUAAUGGAUAUUGUGUCAUCAGACACAUGGUUAAACUCUGAUAUUUGUGGGCGGACUCUUGACCUAGCCAUGCUGCCUUUGUUCAAGGCAAAUUCAUUAACAUUUGGCAUGGAGUCAAACUCAUUAAUAUUUAGUGUGGAGUCAAAUUCAUUUACAAAAGUGUGGGUUGAAGUCAACACGCCCAGAAGGUGUCAUCAUUGCCAUCCCAUCCAAUGUGAAUUAACUAUGCUUUCUUACCUAUUCAUUGAGCACCUCCCAAUUCACCAUGAAAUAGAUAUGGGAGGCAGUCCGCUGAUUUUCUCUUUUGGAUUUUUCAUUCUCACACUUGAUACUUUUAUCCUAUUUUCUGUCUAGGAACUCUUGUUUCCACGUGUUCCAUUACUUCUCACAUUUUCCUUUAAUUAUUUUUCUAAGGAGAAUGUCAUCAGGGAUUCAUGCCAUCCCAUAAUAAAAUUGACUUGUCUGUGUCUCUUUAUUUAUCACCUGUUUUCUCAGACUCCUUGAUCCUUCUCGAGCCCAAACCCACUAAGGAAAAUUCUUUUUUAUAACAGCCGCUGGGCAUCUGUUAUAACUUUCUUACUUGUACUUUCUUUAAAUUCUUAAUCUUUAAUAAACCUCAUAAAAAUAAUACUUCUAGCAGAGAAACUAAUUUUAACUGCUACACAAACCUAAAUUUUUCCCUUAACAAUACCCAUUCAUCCUCCCCUUCUCCAAUACUUCUUGAAAAAGUCAAAUAUCUUGUCACUAUUUCCUUAAUACAAUGUGUUUUAAAAAUUUGUACCCUGGGGACUUCAUUUUCCAGCAUUCUGUACUUUUCCCGGGGUUCCCUUCUCUUGAAUCCCUGUAUCAUGCCCUGAUGUGGGUCUGUUUAUAAAUUUGUUGAAACCACGCUGGGAGGCUUUUUUUCUUUGCCUCAAGCAUGGCAGGCUUCUGACUCUUUGCUCUAUCACUCUUUUUCUUUCUCCCUUCGUUGUUAUUGAAUCCUAUAAAUUUAAAUACUUGGAGUAUUCAUUUUUAGUCUUACAAUACUCUAACUUUUUCCUUAGCUUGAUUGUAUAACCCCUAUUCUGUGGAAGCAGUUCAUUGCAAGAUUACCAAUUACCUGCCAAUCUCCAAAUUCAAUGGACUUUUAAAAAUCUCCAUAGCCUUAACCUCUGAAAUUUACCAAUCCUACUACAUUCUUUCCUCCCCCAACUUCAAAGACAUCACUUUCCUGGUUUUACAUCUCUAAUCAUGUGCUCUCCAUCUUCUCCAACCCUUAAUAUGGAAUUCUAUAGUUUGACUUUGACCCUCUUCUUUCUCUGAAGUUUCUUCUUUGGCAUUUGCAUUCAUUCUUAUGGCUUCAUCUACCACCUCUAUGCAGGUAAUUCACAAUUUCAUAUCUGUAGUCCUGGCAUCAGAGAACCUUUUGCUUAAGGAAAUGUCCCUAGGUGAUGAGGUUUAGUAGAGUAAGAAGUUGGAAAGUGAUCUGGAGGGGGCUGUUAGUAGAAGGGGAAUAAUUUCAAGAUUCAAGAUGUCAUAUAGAAGAGGAUUUACAAUCUGGCCCUAGAGGGAAGAACUAAGCAAUGUUGCAGAGAGAUUAGAUUCCAUAUACAAAAAGCUAUAUAACAAUCAGAACUGAUCCAAAGUGGAAUAAGCAAAGUUUCCUGGGUGGUUCAGUGGAUAGAAUACUGGACCUGGAAUAUAAAAGACCUAAGAUCAAAUCUGAUCUCUGACACUUGCUAGCAAUGUGAUCCUAGGCAAAUCCCUUAACCUAUCCCUCAGUUUUAUCAACUAUAAAAAUUGGGGUAAUACCAACUACCUCCCAGGGUUGUUGUAUCAAAAAAGCUAACAUUUGUAAAGAGCUUGGCACAUAAUACUUUUCUAGGAUGAGAUUACUGGUCAGGUAUGAAUUGGACCAAAUGGCUUUUAAAGUUGUAUGCAAUUUUGAGAUUUGACUUGAAUAAUGAGCCUGCAGGGAUAGUUGUAAAUACAUUCACAUACAUAAAUAUUUUACAUUAAGAACCCACACUUGUUUUUAAAGCUCUUUUUGUCUUAGGACAAAAUGUCCUAGGAAUGUGCCCCUACCCACAAUCCUUUGUAAAAUGAAUGGUUUGGAUUAGAUCAUAUGAUUAUGGAUUCAGAACUGAAGGGAUCUUAAAUGCCAUUCAUUUUAAUCCUCUGAUAAAUUAAUGGAGGGCCAUAGAGAUUAAGUGAUUUGCUAAAGGUUAUACAGGUAGUCCAUGGCAGAAGUAGCUCCUCAACUGCAGGUCCAUGUUCUAUUUAAUACACCAUACAAACAGCUUUGCCAUAAGCACUUGCUAAGUGCUGCCAGCACCAAGGCUAAAUCCAGGGGGGACACAAAGAAAGGCAAAAAUGUGGUCGUUGCCCUCAAGGUGCUCAUAUUUUAAUGAAGCAGGUAAUGUACAAUAAUAAGUGGAAAGUAAGUUUAGAGGGGAAGAACCUCAUGAGGUAGAGGGAGAAGAUGGGACAGAAUGAGUCAAAAUAAGACUUCCUGGGGGAAAUGGGAUGGAUAUAAAUAGGGAGGAAAGAAGGAAACCAGGGAACAUGAGAAGCAAAGUUGAGGAAAGAGCAUUCUAGGUGUGGUGAACAGCCAAUACAAAGGCAUAUUGUUGAGAGAUGGGAGUGCUGUGUGCAAGGGAUGGCAAGACUGGUAUCAGUCAUUGGAGGGGAGCAAAGUAUAAGAAAACUAGAAAGGUAGAAAAGGGAUGCAUUGUGAAGAGCUUUAAAUGCCAAACAAUGCACUUCCUUUUUGAUCCUAGAGCUUAUGGAGCCAAUGACAUUUAUUGAAGGAGGAGAUUGAUCUAAAGGGUUAGGCUUGAGUUUUAAGAAAGGCACUUUGGCAACCAAGUAGAGGAUAUAUUGCAGUGAGGAGAGAAGAGAUAGAUGGUGAUCAACCAGAAGGUUAUUGUAAUACUUAAGAUGAGAGAUGAUGAGGAUCCAUACUGGCUAGGAUGGUGGCUGUGUGAAUGGUGAGAAGGGGACUUAUGUGAAAGAUGAUUUAAAGGUAAAAAUAGCAAGACAACAAGCAGAUUACAUAUGUGGGGUGAAUGGCCCUGAGGCUGCCAAUCUGAUUGGCUGGAAGAAUUGCACCCAGAAUAGUCAUAGGGAAGAAGGGAAAAUGUGUUUUAUGGAGAAUUUUUUUGGACAUGUUCCAAAAAUUGGUGACACGAGAAUGGUGCUCAGGAGAGAGGUUAAGAUUUCAUAAAUCUAAUUAAAAUGGGUGAGAUCUCAAGCAAAAUAGUAUGGAAGGAGAAAAGAUGAAGGCCCCAGGCAGAGCCUUUCCAGACACCUAUAGUCAGCAGGCAUGGCAUGGAUGAUGAACUAGCAAGAGAUCAAGAAUAAGUAUAUGAUCCUUUGAUCUUAUAAACUAGAAUUCAAUUUAGAUUUUCUAUUAGAUUUAGAAUCAGCCCCAAACUAUUACAGGUGUCUUCAAAUGUAACAGAAGAGUAGUCUGUAAGGGCCAAAGGGAGGUGCAAACUACAUUUCCCAGGAUGCUGAUUACUUGUUGACAACUCCAUUUUUAGAAACCCUUUUGGAUCCAAGCUCCAAGGGCUUUUUUCUCUGUGCCCUCUGGGAAUGAAAUCUGGACAUGAAGUGCUUUGACCAGAAGGCUUCUGGGAAGGGUAGUUCCUCAGCUCUGCAGGUGUCAGGAACUAUAGUUUGGCUACGUGGCAGUCGCUGGUGCCUUUGUUCUCUGGUGGCUUCAGGGUACUGAGUCUCUUCAGGCUCCUCCUCCUGAGGACGCAGACACAGGGAGGGAGAGGUAGAACAUCCUGGGCAGGGGUUAGAGGGAUCUAGGGAGGAUAGAAUUCUGAGGGACUGAAGAGAUUUCCCAAAGAAGGUGAAAGUGGAAAGGGCCACCCCUGAAGAAGGAGUUUCUCAGAAGUCCACAGGCUGGGGCUUUCUUGAGAGUCCUUGCCUGAAGUCAAGACCCCUGGAACAAUUCCUGAGCAUCUUACCCCAGGAGAUGGUGCUUGGAUGAAAUCAAAGUAUCCAGGGAACAACAAAGGAGUGUCUGUUGGAGAUUUGGUGAACAUGUUUGAGAAGAAAGCUCUGCCUGAGAAGUAUGACUUUCUCCCUAAACAGAGCACAGAGGUGGACGAAAUGACCUCUGGGCUCCUGGCAUCCAGAUCCCAGGAAUCAUUGACAUUCAAUGAUAUGUCUGUGAACUUCACCCAAGAUGAAUGGGGGCAUUUGGAUUCUGCUCAGAAAGGUCUGUAUAGAGAUGUGAUGCUGGAGAACUACAGGAACCUGGCUUCGUUGGGACAUCCAGGUUCUAAGCCAGAUGUGAUUUCUCAGCUGGAACAUGGAAAAGGCCCCUGGGUGAAGAAGGGAAUCCCAAAAAGCAGAUGCCUAGGUACUCCCCUGGUUAAGCACCAGUUUGUCUUACCCAGAAUUUUCUGUCUGAUGAUAUGCUGCUUCUCACGAGGUGCCAAAGCUCAACCCAUUUGAAGCAUUGUGCUCAUCUCUGGUCCUUCUGAUCUCCCUGGCUUAGAGAAUCUCCUCUAAAAGCAUCAGAAACAUCUUGCUGUUGGUAACUUUUGCUGAUGCCUUUGGCUAGGUUGUUUCCAUCCUGCCAUUCAUUUUCACCACAUAUAAAAGAUUCACGUUAGGUUAUAUGGGCUCUCCUUCCCUUCUCUGAGGGUGAUGUAGAUGAUAUAGGGGGGUGAUAUAGGAAGAGGGGAGUCCUUUGGUGCACUCUACAGUAAUGGUCUUCAGACCUCAAGGGAUAUACGAUCAACUAACUGGAUGGUGGGGAGGUUCCCUUCCUGAAGUAGCCAAUACUGGGCCUUAGUACAACCUGCCCUUCAUACUUUAUCUCUGGACAAUUCCUCACUCCAUCCUCCCACAGCUGUGCAAGUUUCUAAGUUCCCCUUUGGUAUGGGGGUAAGCCCUUCAGGGUCAUUCUAACCCAAACACUACCUGGUAAUGGUAGCAACAUCUGGACAGAAGUCAUUGGUAAAUAGCCACUGCAGUGCUCCACUUCCUAUCUCCCCAGAUUAAUUGGUGGCUGUGGGAAUAGCUUUCUCAUUGGCUUCUCUCUUCAAGUCUUACCUUACUCUAAUCCAUUCUUCAGACCACCACCAAAAAACAUUUCAUAAAGCAAGUCUGACUAUGUUUUCCCAAACUCAUAAACCUCAGUCACUUCCUGUUCAUUCUGGGAUCAAAUAUAAACUCCUAUGUGUAGCAUUUAAAGGCCUUCACAACCUGCCUCAACCUAUCUUUCUAGCCUUGUUAUAUAUUAUUCCCUUUUCUCUACACAUUCCAACCAAACUGGCCUUCUUGCUGUUCCUCAUCCUCAUCCAAAAAUGACCAAAAUGUCCAAAUAUGAAAAGGAAAUUAAACAUAGAUUAAGCAGAACCAUAAAGAGAAAGAGGAAUGGAUUCAUAGGAGAAACUUUCUCCUGAGUUGAAUUCAGAGACAAUUCACUUUUAUUGUUUUUCCAUUGUGAAUGGUGAUUGUCUUCAUGCAGAAAAAUGUGACUUCUGAAAAGCGAUUAUGUUCAAUGUUAUAACUUAUUUGUUGUAAUUUAUAUUUGUAUAUGUGUUUUAUAAUGUGUGUAAUAAUUGUACAGUGGUGUAUGUAUAUAAUUUAUAAAUAAAUUAAUAUGUAUGUAUAAUUGUAGAUGUGAACUCAA